rnacentral:rRNA from 1 species
GACGAACGCUGGCGGCGUGCCUAAUACAUGCAAGUUGAGCGCUGAAGGUUGGUACUUGUACCGACUGGAUGAGCAGCGAACGGGUGAGUAACGCGUGGGGAAUCUGCCUUUGAGCGGGGGACAACAUUUGGAAACGAAUGCUAAUACCGCAUAAAAACUUUAAACACAAGUUUUAAGUUUGAAAGAUGCAAUUGCAUCACUCAAAGAUGAUCCCGCGUUGUAUUAGCUAGUUGGUGAGGUAAAGGCUCACCAAGGCGAUGAUACAUAGCCGACCUGAGAGGGGGAUCGGCCACAUUGGGACUGAGACACGGCCCAAACUCCUACGGGAGGCAGCAGUAGGGAAUCUUCGGCAAUGGACGAAAGUCUGACCGAGCAACGCCGCGGGAGGGAAGAAGGGUUUCGGAUCGUAAAACUCUGUUGGUAGAGAAGAACGUUGGUGAGAGUGGAAAGCUCAUCAAGUGACGGUAACUACCCAGAAAGGGACGGCUAACUACGUG